CCCGGCACCCAGACUGACGUCACUUCCAGGUUACAAGACAUAAAAGCCUCCAUCUUGGCUAACUCAAACAGUUCAAUGGGGAACUCGAAUAAGCAACAUCGCUGUACCCAAGAUAAUCCUUUGCAGCUAGGAACAAUAUACGGGUGGCUGCCCCAAACCUUUUGAAAGUGUUGAAACUCGUUCUUUUACAGUGGUGUAGCCAGCAGGAUGGCCUCCUGGUGGAAUAGGAAGCUGAACCAACAAAAUGUCUCAACACAUCAUCGUAAUGGACCACCAAAGACCUAUCAGACGGAUGCUUCGGACACAGGUCUUGGUGUCGUGCUGUGUCGAUGGAGUGGAACACCCCGUGAUGUAUCUGAGUCGGAAACUGUUGGACCGAGAGACCAGAUCAAAUACAGGAAAACCUACCUGACCUGACGUCACUUCCUGUCCCGGCACUUAGACAGAUGACACUUUCUGUCCCGGCACCCAGACUGACGUCACUUUCUGUCCCGGCACCCAGACUGAUGUCACUUCCUGUCCCGGCACCCAGACUGACGUCACUUCCGGGUUACAAGACAUAAAAGCCUCCAUCUUGGCUAACUCAAACAGUUCAAUGUGAAACUUGAAUAAGCAACAUCACUGUACCUAUGAUAAUCCUUUGCAGCUAGGAACAAUA